rnacentral:rRNA from 1 species
AUUGAACGCUGGCGGCAUGCUUUACACAUGCAAGUCGAACGGUAACAGGGUGCUUGCACCGCUGACGAGUGGCGAACGGGUGAGUAAUGCGUCGGAACGUGCCGAGUAGUGGGGGAUAACGCAGCGAAAGUUGUGCUAAUACCGCAUACGUACUGAGGUAGAAAGUGGGGGACCUUCGGGCCUCACGCUAUUCGAGCGGCCGACGUCUGAUUAGCUAGUAGGUGAGGUAAAGGCUCACCUAGGCGACGAUCAGUAGCGGGUCUGAGAGGAUGAUCCGCCACACUGGGACUGAGACACGGCCCAGACUCCUACGGGAGGAAGCAGUGGGGAAUUUUGGACAAUGGGCGAAAGCCUGAUCCAGCCAUGCCGCGUGUCUGAAGAAGGCCUUCGGGUUGUAAAGGACAUUUGUCAGGGAGGAAAUCCCUAGCGCUAAUACCGCUGGGGGAUGACAGUACCUGAAGAAUAAGCACCGGCUAACUACGUGCCAGCCGCCGCCGUAACAC